UACGCGGGUCGUAGAUCAAUAAAACUAACGUCUGCAAGCUCGACUUUAAAAAUUUUCACCCGCUAAUUUUACGUACAUUUGAGAAUCAGUCCAACCGGUUUGUCCGUAGAACCAUAAUUUUAUUCUGAUGAUGUUGAAUUGCUUUAAAAAGAUGUAUGAGGCGAUGAAACUGCAUGAAAUGCAAUUAACUCAAUUUCAGAAUUUGAAAUGAACUCAGAGUUGACUGAAUUUUGACUUUUAUUAAACU
rnacentral:lncRNA from 1 species